AGUGAACGCUGGCGGUAGGCCUAACACAUGCAAGUCGAGCGGCAGCACAGUAAGAGCUUGCUCUUACGGGUGGCGAGUGGCGGACGGGUGAGGAAUACAUCGGAAUCUACUUUUUCGUGGGGGAUAACGUAGGGAAACUUACGCUAAUACCGCAUACGACCUACGGGUGAAAGCAGGGGAUCUUCGGACCUUGCGCGAUUGAAUGAGCCGAUGUCGGAUUAGCUAGUUGGCGGGGUAAAGGCCCACCAAGGCGACGAUCCGUAGCUGGUCUGAGAGGAUGAUCAGCCACACUGGAACUGAGACACGGUCCAGACUCCUACGGGAGGCAGCAGUGGGGAAUAUUGGACAAUGGGCGCAAGCCUGAUCCAGCCAUACCGCGUGGGUGAAGAAGGCCUUCGGGUUGUAAAGCCCUUUUGUUGGGAAAGAAAAGCAGCAGGUUAAUACCCCGCUGUUCUGACGGUACCCAAAGAAUAAGCACCGGCUAACUUCGU
rnacentral:rRNA from 1 species